AAUCUUUAGUUUAUAUACUAUAUUGUAACUCUUAUGUUUCUAAGUUUUGUUACAUUCUAUUGAAACCCUAAAUUCAAUGGUCUUUCUCUAUGUUUCUACAUGUCCAAUCUUAUUAACAUGGUAUCAAAGAGCCUGGUUAAUUCAUUAGCAAUUUGUUGAAGAUAAAUUACAUGGUGUAUUGUUGGCUUUGGCUUGUUACGAUUUUGGAUAGUAGUGAAUUGUUAUUGUUAUUGGAUUGCAAACUUUGGUCAAAAGCACCGCUUCUAUCGAACGGCAAUUUUGAAGGAG
rnacentral:lncRNA from 1 species